rnacentral:rRNA from 1 species
GACGAACGCUGGCGGCGUGCUUAACACAUGCAAGUCGUACGAAGUGGCGAACGGGUGAGUAAUACGUGGGUAACCUGCUCUCCUUUUUGGGUUAAGCCUUGGAAACGGGGUCUAAUACCGAAUAAAGGGGGAUGGGCUCGGGGCCUAUGAGCUUGUUGGUGGGGUGAUGGCCUACCAAGGCGGUGACGGGUAGCCGAACUGAGAGGGUGACAGGGCACAGUGGGACUGAGCUACGGCCUAGAAUCGUACGGGAGGAAGCAGUGGGGAAUGUUGCACAAUGGGCGAAAGACUGAUGCAGCGACUCCGCGUGGGGGAUGUGGGCUUUCGGGUUGUAACCCUCUUUCGCAAUCGAACGGGUAGAUGGAGAAGAAGCGCCGGCUAACUACGUGCCAGCAGCCGCGGUAAUAC